UACGUAGGGUGCGAGCGUUGUCCGGAAUUACUGGGCGUAAAGCGCGUGUAGGCUGCUUCGCAAGUCGGAUGUGAAAGCCCUGGGCUCAACCCAGGAAGUGCAUUCGAAACUGCAGAGCUGGAGUCCUGGAGAGGAAGGCGGAAUUCUCGGUGUAGAGGUGAAAUUCGUAGAUAUCGAGAGGAACACCGGUGGCGAAGGCGGCCUUCUGGACAGUGACUGACGCUGAGACGCGAAAGCGUGGGGAGCAAACGGG
rnacentral:rRNA from 1 species